rnacentral:rRNA from 1 species
CAGGCCUAACACAUGCAAGUCGAGCGGCAGCGGGACCUUCGGGUUGCCGGCGAGCGGCGGACGGGUGAGUAAUGCCUAGGAAUGUAUCCUGAGGUGGGGGACAACCCUGGGAAACUGGGGCUAAUACCGCAUGGGAGCUGAGGCUCAAAGCCGUAAGGCGCCUUGGGAGCAGCCUGCGUCCGAUUAGGUAGUUGGUGGGGUAAAGGCCUACCAAGCCUGCGAUCGGUAGCUGGUCUGAGAGGACGAUCAGCCACACUGGGACUGAGACACGGCCCAGACUCCUACGGGAGGCAGCAGUGGGGAAUAUUGGACAAUGGGCGCAAGCCUGAUCCAGCAAUGCCGCGUGGGUGAAGAAGGUCUUCGGAUUGUAAAGCCCUUUCGGCGGGGACGAUGAUGACGGUACCCGCAGAAGAAGCCCCGGCUAACUUCGUGCCAGCCGCCGCAGUAA